CAGGAGCUAAGAGAGGAAAUCAUAUCAUGGGCAGGGUUAGUGUAUCCACAACACAUCCUAAUCAGAAGGAACUGGCACCCUUGCAGGUGCCACAUAAUACUCAUAUGUAGAACUUCUCUCUAUUAGUGUGGCAGCAUUUGCACUUUGGAACUCCCUGCCUCUUGAAUACGCCUUCACUGUAUUCUUUUCGGCGACUGCUAAAAACGUUGUCUUUUGAGAAAGCCUGUACAGACACAUAGAGCGUUGGUGUCUGUUUGAAUCUGGUUUUCGGUUUACCUUUGUUUUUAAUUUUAAUUUUUAAAAAGGUUUUAAAUAGUUUAUUUCAACUUUGUAAAAUAAAACCCUAAGCAUUUCAUUGUUUUCUUCUUUCUGUAAAUGGUUCUUCCUCCAGCCUUGUCCACCAACGGCAUCUACCAAUGGUUGCUCAGAAGGAAAUGUGAGCCUUGGGCUGAAGAAAGAUCCUCCCCACCUGUUUUAAAGUCCCACUAGACACUUUCGAGUUUUUGCUGCAAGAGACCAAGGCUCCAUCAUCACCAAAUGAUUUCAUUUGUUAAGGAUGCUGAGAGUUGUUAGGAGACCCCUAUGGCACUAUGCUGAGUAAAACUUGAUACAACCUGAAUAUAUCUCUGAUGACUUUAGCUGUAAUUCCUGGAUCGCAAGGGGUUCAACUAGAUGACCGCUGGGGGUCUCUUCCUACUCUACUGUUCCAUGAUUUGCUAACUCCCAGAAGCUUAGUCAGAAGCCCCUGUUGUAAGAAACCGCCUGUGCCGCAGGGUCCUCUUACCAACACUGGGGAAUAGACUACCCAGAGGAUGUAACCAUAUUGGAUAGAUCCCAAGCUGGUGACCAGCACUGUUCGGAGAAGCGAAUUUGUCACCUCCUACAGGAAAUCAAAGCAGCAGAUAAGAGCAGCUGUCAGGCAAAGCGUUCAUCAAUGCAUAAGAAAGGUCUUGCCGUUGGUUUCUGGGAUAACCUUGAAGAUGUAAAUGAAGCUGAACACGCAGAGAGGCCAGAAGAGGAGGAAGGUGUAGG